rnacentral:misc_RNA from 1 species
AACGCACAUUGCGCCCGCCAGUAUUCUGGCGGGCAUGCCUGUUCGAGCGUCAUUUCAACCAUCAAGCCCCCGGGCUUGUGUUGGGGACCUGCGGCUGCCGCAGGCCCUGAAAAGCAGUGGCGGGCUCGCUGUCACACCGAGCGUAGUAGCAUACAUCUCGCUCCGGUCGUGCUGCGGGUUCCGGCCGUUAAACCACCUUUUAACCCAAGGUUGACCUCGGAUCAGGUAGGAAGACCCGCUGAACUUAA